rnacentral:tRNA from 1 species
UAGAAAGUGGUGUAGUGGAAGCACAAAGAGUCUUGGUCUUCUUAGGUUGGGUUCAAAACCCUUCCUUCUA